rnacentral:rRNA from 1 species
UCCUGGCUCAGAUUGAACGCUGGCGGCAUGCCUUACACAUGCAAGUCGAACGGCAGCACGGGAGCAAUCCUGGUGGCGAGUGGCGAACGGGUGAGUAAUAUAUCGGAACGUGCCCAGUCGUGGGGGAUAACGUAGCGAAAGCUACGCUAAUACCGCAUACGAUCUAUGGAUGAAAGCGGGGGAUCGCAAGACCUCGCGCGAUUGGAGCGGCCGAUAUCAGAUUAGCUAGUUGGUGGGGUAAAAGCCCACCAAGGCGACGAUCUGUAGCUGGUCUGAGAGGACGACCAGCCACACUGGAACUGAGACACGGUCCAGACUCCUACGGGAGGCAGCAGUGGGGAAUUUUGGACAAUGGGCGAAAGCCUGAUCCAGCAAUGCCGCGUGCAGGACGAAGGCCUUCGGGUUGUAAACUGCUUUUGUACGGAACGAAAAAGUCUUUUCUAAUAAAGAAGGCUCAU